GUUAAAUAUAACUGUGUUCUAGGUUAACUUCUCAGCCUGGCACUGCAUUACCGAACGGACAUAGCAGCUUAUCCCUCCGAAGCCAUCCCCUUCGAGGGGAAAAGAAAGGGGAUGGAGACCUUUCUUGCAUUAAUGGUGACAUGGGAGUUAGGAAAAGCUGCCGUUCCAGGAAGAACAGAUUUGAGAGUGUGAACCAGAGUUUGCUAUUUGAUCAACUAGUGAAUAGUACUGCUGAAGCUGUACUUCAAGAAAUGGACAAUAUUAACAUCCGACGGAAUCGGCGAUCAGGAGAAGUGGAACGACUUAGAAUGUGGACAGAUACAGAAUUUG